UACGUAGGGCGCAAGCGUUAUCCGGAAUUAUUGGGCGUAAAGAGCUCGUAGGCGGUUUGUCGCGUCUGCCGUGAAAGUCCGGGGCUCAACUCCGGAUCUGCGGUGGGUACGGGCAGACUAGAGUGAUGUAGGGGAGACUGGAAUUCCUGGUGUAGCGGUGAAAUGCGCAGAUAUCCGGAGGAACACCGAUGGCGAAGGCAGGUCUCUGGGCAGUAACUGACGCUGAGGAGCGAAAGCAUGGGGAGCGAACAGG
rnacentral:rRNA from 1 species